rnacentral:rRNA from 1 species
UACGAAGGGGGCUAGCGUUGCUCGGAAUCACUGGGCGUAAAGCGCACGUAGGCGGAUUUGUAAGUCAGGGGUGAAAUCCCGGGGCUCAACCUCGGAACUGCCUUUGAUACUGCAAAUCUCGAGUCCGGAAGAGGUGAGUGGAAUUCCUAGUGUAGAGGUGAAAUUCGUAGAUAUUAGGAAGAACACCAGUGGCGAAGGCGGCUCACUGGUCCGGUACUGACGCUGAGGCGCGAAAGCUAGGGGAGCAAACGGG